UUCAGCAUGAAGAUUGAAAAAAAAACGAGUGCACAGAUUAGUACUCGAUUUACUUUACCCCACUCAGCUACGCUACUUAUAAAAAAUUUAUUAGCGAGUCUGUUUCAAAUUGAAAUAGAUCAAAUAAAUCAAACAAUACAGUCUCACGACGCUCUCUCAUCCCCUAAUGCAAAUCUUCAUCACUCUUUUUUUAUUUUCAAUAACAACGAAUUUAUUGUAGACAUUCAAAAAAUACGACAAGCAAAUAAAUUUAUACAGAAACUUUUAGUAUCCCUUAAAGAGCGUAAUGUGUCUCUUUUUGUUCACGCCGUUGUACGACUAGGCAUUAGCGCUUGUAAAAAACUUUUACAAGACACCAAAAAUGUACAAAAAAAUGGUGGACUUUUAACACAAACUGGUGAUCGUCGAACCCCUGGUGGAGUUUUCCUGUUUCUUUUACGACUAAAAGCGACGAAACUAGAUAUUGACUAUAUUUGGGCAAAUCAAAAGAAAGCACAAACUUUGUUUAGGCGAGAUAAAAAAGCUAUAGCGCAUUUGGAGAAACAAAUUCAAAAAUCUUUAGUACUACACGACAGCAUUCUUUCCGAUGCGUCAAUGCUCGCGAGUUCCGACCAUGAUUGUUCUUUUGCUGAACGUGAAGAUGGAGAAAUAUAACAUCUCGUCCCGAUCGCUCGUACUAUUUUCCAAUGUAACAUUAUCACCUCCUUUUAAUUUAACCCUGGUAAUGUUCGCUUUUAAUUUAAAUAACAGAAAAAAAAAACAUUUUUUUUCUUGUAGAAAAACUAGUACUGAAAUUUUUUUCUUUUAAACACAUAAAUUUAUGCUCUUGACACUCCUUAAAAAAAAUACAUUUACACGAUGACGCCUCGCUUCUAUGCAAUACAAAUUUCUUUCUUUUUUAAAUUUUUUUACUUCUUCCUAUUUCGCUUUCCCUCUUACAAUUAAAUAAUUUGUUUACGACGAGCCCUUCCUAUCACUACUCCAAUAUUAAAAUAGUAUCUUGUCAUAUCUAGACUUACAGAAGUUUUCCACCUAA